GAUGAACGCUAGCUACAGGCUUAACACAUGCAAGUCGAGGGACCGGCGCACGGGUGAGUAACGCGUAUCCAACCUUCCGUACACUCAGGGAUAGCCUUUCGAAAGAAAGAUUAAUACCUGAUGGUGUACGAUGGGGAUGCGUUCCAUUAGGUAGUAGGCGGGGUAACGGCCCACCUAGCCAACGAUGGAUAGGGGUUCUGAGAGGAAGGUCCCCCACAUUGGAACUGAGACACGGUCCAAACUCUACGGGAGGCAGCAGUGAGGAAUAUUGGUCAAUGGACGAGAGUCUGAACCAGCCAAGUAGCGUGAAGGAUGAAGGUCUACGGAUUGUAAACUUCUUUUAUAAGGGAAUAUGUACCUUAUGAAUAAGGACCGGCUAAUUCCGUGCCAGCAGCCGCGGUAAUACGGAAGGUCCGGGCGUUAUCCGGAUUUAUUGGGUUUAAAGGGAGCGUAGGCCGGAGAUUAAGCGUGUUGUGAAAUGUAGAUGCUCAACAUCUGCACUGCAGCGCGAACUGG
rnacentral:rRNA from 1 species